rnacentral:rRNA from 1 species
UAAUACGGAGGGUGCGAGCGUUAAUCGAAAUUACUGGGCGUAAAGGGUGUGUAGGUGGCUAAGUAAGUUACUUGUGAAAGUCCUGGGCUUAACCCAGGUUGGACGGGUGAUACUGUUUAGCUAGAGUAUAGGAGAGGGUAGUGGAAUUCCAGGUGUAGCGGUGAAAUGCGUAGAUAUCUGGAGGAACAUCGGUGGCGAAGGCGGCUACCUGGCCUAAUACUGACACUGAGGCACGAAAGCGUGGGGAGCAAACAGG